GAAUAGUUUAUUGACGGCUUCGGCGUUGGUUAGAUGUGUGUUUACUUCGUACGAGAUCCCUUUUUAUCGUCGACGUAUUUCGCAUUUUCAUUGCGGCAAGCAGGAAACGUAGCGCGGCGCGGCGCGGUGAGGCGCCUCCUUCGUUCGCUCGAUUCGCUCGUUGUAGGCUCGCUGCUAUCACCGCUCACCACCGGUAUUCUCUUCGGACGGUUCUACUGCCGCCUGCUAAAGUAAAAUAGGAAAAGAACGAGAAAACAAAAAGAAGAAGAAGGCGAAGAAGAAGAAGGAGAAGAAGAAAAGAGAGAGAGAGAGAGAGAGAGAGAGAGAGA